AAAUUGAAGAGUUUGAUCAUGGCUCAGAUUGAACGCUGGCGGCAGGCCUAACACAUGCAAGUCGAACGGUAACAGGAAGCAGCUUGCUGCUUUGCUGACGAGUGGCGGACGGGUGAGUAAUGUCUGGGAAACUGCCUGAUGGAGGGGGAUAACUACUGGAAACGGUGGCUAAUACCGCAUAACGUCGCAAGACCAAAGAGGGGGACCUUCGGGCCUCUUGCCAUCAGAUGUGCCCAGAUGGGAUUAGCUWGUUGGUGAGGUAACGGCUCACCAAGGCGACGAUCCCUAGCUGGUCUGAGAGGAUGACCAGCCACACUGGAACUGAGACACGGUCCAGACUCCUACGGGAGGCAGCAGUGGGGAAUAUUGCACAAUGGGCGCAAGCCUGAUGCAGCCAUGCCGCGUGUAUGAAGAAGGCCUUCGGGUUGUAAAGUACUUUCAGCGGGGAGGAAGGUGUUGURGUUAAUAACCGCAGCAAUUGACGUUACCCGCAGAAGAAGCACCGGCUAACUCCGUGCCAGCAGCCGCGGUAAUACGGAGGGUGCAAGCGUUAAUCGGAAUUACUGGGCGUAAAGCGCACGCAGGCGGUCUGUCAAGUCGGAUGUGAAAUCCCCGGGCUCAACCUGGGAACUGCAUUCGAAACUGGCAGGCUUGAGUCUUGUAGAGGGGGGUAGAAUUCCAGGUGUAGCGGUGAAAUGCGUAGAGAUCUGGAGGAAUACCGGUGGCGAAGGCGGCCCCCUGGACAAAGACUGACGCUCAGGUGCGAAAGCGUGGGGAGCAAACAGGAUUAGAUACCCUGGUAGUCCACGCCGUAAACGAUGUCUACUUGGAGGUUGUGCCCUUGAGGCGUGGCUUCCGGAGCUAACGCGUUAAGUAGACCGCCUGGGGAGUACGGCCGCAAGGUUAAAACUCAAAUGAAUUGACGGGGGCCCGCACAAGCGGUGGAGCAUGUGGUUUAAUUCGAUGCAACGCGAAGAACCUUACCUGGUCUUGACAUCCACRGAASUUUYCAGAGAUGRGAWUGUGCCUUCGGGAACYGUGAGACAGGUGCUGCAUGGCUGUCGUCAGCUCGUGUUGUGAAAUGUUGGGUUAAGUCCCGCAACGAGCGCAACCCUUAUCCUUUGUUGCCAGCG
rnacentral:rRNA from 1 species